rnacentral:rRNA from 1 species
GACGAACGCUGGCGGCGUGCUUAACACAUGCAAGUCGAACGGAGUGCCCCAGACAGAGGUUUCGGCCAAUGGAAGGGAACACUUAGUGGCGGACUGGUGAGUAACGCGUGAGGAACCUGCCUUUCAGAGGGGGACAACAGUUGGAAACGACUGCUAAUACCGCAUGACGCAUUUGGGUGGCAUCACCUGAAUGCCAAAGAUUUAUCGCUGAAAGAUGGCCUCGCGUCUGAUUAGCUAGUUGGUGGGGUAACGGCCCACCAAGGCGACGAUCAGUAGCCGGACUGAGAGGUUGACCGGCCACAUUGGGACUGAGAUACGGCCCAGACUCCUACGGGAGGCAGCAGUGGGGAAUAUUGGGCAAUGGACGCAAGUCUGACCCAGCAACGCCGCGUGAAGGAAGAAGGCUUUCGGGUUGUAAACUUCUUUUGUCAGGGAAGAGCAGAAGACGGUACCUGACGAAUAAGCCACGGCUAACUACGUG